AGAAACUUAGGAUAAUCAUCUAAACCGAAG
rnacentral:tRNA from 1 species